rnacentral:rRNA from 1 species
GCUGGGAGGGAUGUAUUUAUUAGAUUCAAAAGCCAAUGCCAUUCUUUUCGGAGGGUGGAAAUUUAACAUAUGGUGAAUCAUGAUAACUUUACGAAUCGCAUGGUCUUUUGUGCCGGCGAUAGUUCAUUCAAAUAUCUGCCCUAUCAACUUUCGAUGGUAGUAUAGAGGACUACCAUGGUGUUAACGGGUAACGGAGAAUCAGGGUUUGAUUCCGGAGAAGGAGCCUGAGAAACGACUACUACUUCCAAGGAAGGCAGCAGGCGCGCAAAUUACCCAAUCCCGACACGGGGAGGUAGUGACAAAAAAUAACAAUACCGGUCUUAUUUAAGUCUGGUAAUUGGAAUGAGUACAAUCUAAAUCCUUUAACGAGUAUCAAUUGGAGGGCAAGUCUGGUGCCAGCAGCCGCGGUAAUUCCAGCUCCAAUAGCAUAUAUUAAAGUUGUUGCAGUUAAAAAGCUCGUAGUUGGAUUUUGAAGUUUACAUAUUGUGACCCACCUUGUAUUAGGUGUGACUUUUGUUGUGAUAUGUACUUCUCCUUACUAGACUUUCACUAUUACACUUUAUUGAGUGAUAGUUUCAUUUUAAUUUAUU